UUGUCCCUUUAAGGUCACUGUAGUGCUUUAAGAGGCUAAGUGUUAACAGCAGGGGGAAAGAACUCUCCAUCAAACCCAGGGAGAAGACUGAACACCUCCUCUAUGGAUCCUUUCUCGAGUCACAGAC